rnacentral:rRNA from 1 species
AUUGAACGCCGGCGGCGUGCCUAAUACAUGCAAGUCGAGCGAAUGGAUUAAGAGCUUGCUCUUAUGAAGUUAGCGGCGGACGGGUGAGUAACACGUGGGUAACCUGCCCAUAAGACUGGGAUAACUCCGGGAAAUCGGGGCUAAUACCGGAUAACAUUUCGAACCGCAUGGUUCGAAAUUGAAAGGCGGCUUCGGCUGUCACUUAUGGAUUGACCCGCGUCGCAUUAGCUAGUUGGUGAGGUAACGGCUCACCAAGGCAACGAUGCGUAGCCGACCUGAGAGGGUGAUCGGCCACACUGGGACUGAGACACGGCCCAGACUCCUACGGGAGGCAGCAGUAGGGAAUCUUCCGCAAUGGACGAAAGUCUGACGGAGCAACGCCGCGUGAGUGAUGAAGGCUUUCGGGUCGUAAAACUCUGUUGUUAGGGAAGAACAAGUGCUAGUUGAAUAAGCUGGCACCUUGACGGUACCUAACCAGAAAGCCACGGCUAACUACGUGCCAGCAGCCGCUGUAA